GACAGAGGGUGCAAACGUUGCUCGGAAUUACUGGGCGUAAAGCGCGUGUAGGCGGUUCCGCAAGUCAGGUGUGAAAGCCCAGGGCUCAACCCUGGAAGUGCACUUGAUACUACGGAGCUUGAGUACUGCAGGGGAGACUGGAAUUCCUGGUGUAGCGGUGAAAUGCGCAGAUAUCAGGAGGAACACCGGUGGCGAAGGCGGGUCUCUGGGCAGUAACUGACGCUGAGGAGCGAAAGCGUGGGGAGCGAACAGG
rnacentral:rRNA from 1 species